rnacentral:rRNA from 1 species
GACGAACGCUGGCGGCGUGCUUAACACAUGCAAGUCGAACGGAAAGGCCCUGCUUUUGUGGGGUGCUCGAGUGGCGAACGGGUGAGUAACACGUGUGUAACCUGCCCUUGACUUUGGGAUAACUUCAUGCAACUGGGGCUCAUACCGGAUAGGAGCUCCUGCUGCAUGGUGGGGGUUGGAAAGUUUCGGCGGUUGGGGAUGGACUCGCGGCUUAUCAGCUUGUUGGUGGGGUAGUGGCUUACCAAGGCUUUGACGGGUAGCCGGCCUGCGAGGGUGACCGGCCACAUUGGGACGGAGAUACGGCCCAGACUACUACGGGAGGCGACAGUGGGGAAGAGUGCACAAGGGGAGGAAGCCUGAUGCAGCAACGCCGCGUGCGGGAAGACGGCCUGCGGGUUGGAAACCGCUGUCGCCUGUGACGAGGAGUGAGUGACGGUAAUGGGUAAAGAAGCACCGGCUAACUACGUG